GAAAAUUUUCAGAUCUUACUCCAAAAAAAAACUUUUAUGUGCCAAAAUCAAUUCAUUAAAAAAUAAAUAAAAAGGUGUUUAGAGAAGAGAAAAAAACUUUCAUGAGCUAGAUCCUCUUCUCCUCCAUAUACCCUUUGUCGUCUCUGAUCUUUUUCUUCUUCUCCACUGUGUCCCUUAACUCUUUCGAUCCAUCUUCUUUGUUCUCUCACUGUGUCGUCCCCUCUCUCUCCCUUUAUGUCAUUUUUUUUUGUCUAAGAGCUUCACGGUCAUUUGCACACCAUGUGUUUGAUGAAAUUACUGUGAUGGUGUGUGAUUGGAUAUUGAAAGGGAUCUAUCUUAAACAACAUUUUUGUUCUUCGUCGCUCUUGUUAUCUGUCGCUCUCACACAAUCGCGAUUUGCAAAAUUUGUUGGAGAUAGAGAUCCAAACUUUUGUUUGGAGAUAGGAAAAGACGAGGAGGCAAUUCACGCCCUUUCACACAUUCUCUGCUGAUUUGUAUCUUCUCCGCUGUUUGGAGAUAGAGAAGCUUCUCUUUUCUUGUAAUCACGAGACAGGUUUUCGCAUAGCGUUUGUAUGUGUGGUACCUACGAUAACAGUGGCCUAACAUAGCGUUUGUGAAAGAGCUAUAAAUGACGUAUUAUAGCGUUUCUCUACUGCUAUCAAUGUAGAUAUUUGUUGUAGAGCUCGUACAACUCUUGUUGAAAGAGAGGAACAACUUGUGUCUCGUUUUCUUGGUGGACUUCGUACCCAACUCCAAAUUCCGUUAUAACAAUUCAAUCCAACUGUUGUCUCUGAAGCACAUCAACGAGCUCUUGGAAUGGAACUUAAAUACAAGUCUAACUUGAAUUCUUCAUCGUCACUGACUCGUUUUCUUACCCCCACUCAACAGCUGAUGCCCGUGUUCCUAACAACAAUAAUUUUACAUCAUUACGUCCUGCUCCGCCAAAGACUAAUGCUCCAUCUGAUUCCAUUGUCGCUUCUCGUCAGCCAUGAACAUGUGCUUUACGGUGUUACACUUGUGGUGAAUCUGGUCACAGACAAACUGCUUGUCCUCUCAUUAGAAUAAACGUGGUUUGUUAACUCAUGAAACAAAGCUUGUUGGCGAGCCACAGUUUGAUGACAAAGGAUCAGAUUCUCAAGACCAGGUGGAUGAAACUAUUUCUGGUGAUAUAGGUCUAAAUCUGGUUCUACGUCGAAACUGUUUGUUACCAAAAGCUCUUAAUGAGUCCUGGCUACGAUCUGAGAUCUCUUUAUUGGUAAAUUUGUUGUGGUUUAUUUCCAUUGUGGAUACUGUAAGAAGAAGAAGAAGAAAAGUUGAAUCUGAGAUCUCAAAGGAAUCAAAGACA